rnacentral:tRNA from 1 species
GUGCCCAUGGUGUAGCGGUUAACACAGCAGGUUGUGGUCCUGCCGACACGGGUUCGAUUCCCGUUGGGCACCCA